GUAGCCUGGUCCCAGAUCUGUUGUCUCCUUCUGUAGCCUGGUCCCAGAUCUGUUGUCUCCUUCUGUAGCCUGGUCCCAGAUCUGUUGUCUCCUUCUGUAGCCUGGUCCCAGAUCUGUUGUCUCCUUCUAUAGCCUGGUCCCAGAUCUGUUGUCUCCUUCUAUAGCCUGGUCCCAGAUCUGUUGUCUCCUUCUGUAGCCUGGU